rnacentral:rRNA from 1 species
AGCAGUCGCCGCGGUAAUACGGAGGGUGCAAGCGUUACUCGGAAUUACUGGGCGUAAAGCGUGCGUAGGUGGUGGUUUAAGUCCGUUGUGAAAGCCCUGGGCUCAACCUGGGAAUUGCAGUGGAUACUGGGUCACUAGAGUGUGGUAGAGGAUAGUGGAAUUUCCGGUGUAGCAGUGAAAUGCGUAGAGAUCGGAAGGAACAUCUGUGGCGAAGGCGACUAUCUGGGCCAACACUGACACUGAGGCACGAAAGCGUGGGGAGCAAACAGGAUUAGAUACCCCUGUAGUCCCUGUCUCUUAUAC